rnacentral:ncRNA from 1 species
UUAUACCCGAAGGAGAAGUAGGUUAUGGAUUUUAGCUUUAAGAGAGCCGCGGGCGGUGGAAGCGCGGCGCUAAAAUGUAACCGAACGCGCCUUCGAGGAGAUGUCCGCGGGAAAAUCGCGGAUCGGAGAGCCGUCCGUAAUCAAGCGGCAGAGCGUGUUGUCUAUUUUUGAUAAAGCGCUCAUAAGGCGUGUGUGAGGAAAUGCGCACGCGAAGAAAGGUGGUACCACGAGAACUCUCGUCCUUUCA